UACGGAGGGUGCAAGCGUUGCUCGGAAUCAUUGGGCGUAAAGCGUACGUAGGCUGUUCGUUAAGUCGGGUGUGAAAGCUCGGGGCUCAACCCCGGAACGGCGCCCGAAACUGGCGAGCUUGAAUGCGGGAGAGGGAAGCGGAAUUCCUGGUGUAGAGGUGAAAUUCGUAGAUAUCAGGAGGAACACCGGUGGCGAAAGCGGCUUCCUGGCCCGACAUUGACGCUCAUGUACGAAAGCGUGGGGAGCAAACAGG
rnacentral:rRNA from 1 species